rnacentral:rRNA from 1 species
UAGCAUACCGCUGACGACCGGCGCACGGGUGAGUAACACGUAUCCAACCUACCAUCCUUCAAGGGAUAGCCUUUCGAAAGAAAGAAAAAUACCCGACCUUUUAGCGAUAAGGCAUCUUAUUGCUAUUAAAGAAUUUCGGUGUUUGAUGGGGAUGCGCUCCAUUAGAUUGUUGGUGAGGUAACGGCUCACCAAGUCUUCGAUGGAUAGGGGUUCUGAGAGGAAGGUCCCCCACAUUGGAACUGAGACACGGUCCAAACUCCUACGGGAGGCAGCAGUGAGGAAUAUUGGUCAAUGGACGAGAGUCUGAACCAGCCAAGUAGCGUGAAGGAUGAAGGCCCUAUGGGUCGUAACUUCUUUUAUAGGGGAAUAAAGUGCGGAACGUGUUCCGUUUUGUAUGUACCCUACGAAUAAGGAUCGGCUAACUCCGUGCCAGCAGCCGCGGUAAUACGGAGGAUCCGAGCGUUAUCCGGAUUUAUUGGGUUUAAAGGGAGCGUAGGUGGACGUAUAAGUCAGUUGUGAAAGUUUGCGGCUCAACCGUAAAAUUGCAGUUGAUACUGUAUGUCUUGAGUGUACAAGAGGUGGGCGGAAUUCGUGGUGUAGCGGUGAAAUGCUUAGAUAUCACGAAGAACUCCGAUUG